rnacentral:rRNA from 1 species
GACGAACUGUGCAAACGUUAUUCGGAAUCACUGGGCUUAAAGGGUGCGUAGGCGGUCUUGUAAGUCGGGUGUGAAAGCCCCCGGCUCAACCGGGGAACUGCGUCCUAAACUGCGAGGCUUGAGUGAGGUAGGGGUGUGUGGAACUUCCAGUGGAGCGGUGAGAUGUGUUGAUAUUGGAAGGAACGCCGGUGGCGAAAGCGACACACUGGACCUUGUCUGACGCUGAGGCACGAAAGCCAGGGGAGCAAACGGG